CUAAUAAAAUUCAAUUGGACCGGGGAUUUGGCCUUGGUUUGCUGUUUCCGUUCAUGGAAAGGUUAUAAAUUCAGAUGAGACCUGAGCCGGAAGACUGGAGAUAAAGUAUUUCAGACCAAAUUAUGAUCCAAAAAGGUUUUAAUCAUCAUAUCCUUUGUUCCUGCAGAAAAUCAACAAUACCAGCCAACUGAGGAACAAGUUCCUGUCAGCGAGUAUAAUAUUGCUGAGUGAAAAAUUUAUGUAACCUAUUCUAACAUCUAAUAUUAAGUUAUUUUGUUUAGUCUAACAGUAGAUUUAGCAUCUAAAUUAGAUUUAAAAGCAACUAUGGAUAUAUGGCCUUAUUUCGUGAUCGUUAAGAUCAUAAUGUUUUUCAUUAGAAAAAAACUAUUUUGCGAGGAAUAGUUCGUGUUGUGAGAACAACUUACCAUAGCGAUAGAUUCCCAUGUUAUCGAGUAAUUCACUUGUUUCUACCCGAAACGCUUGUUGGAUACUCGUCGCAGCUUUGCUCCCAGACACUUCAAAUUGCUAAAUUUUAGUCAGCGCUUAAAUGGCUAAUAAUUCCUAACCCUGAGUGCGUGGUUCCAAAGGGUGCUAUGACGGAAUUGCAUCUAUCACUCGGCGAACUACUCGUUAACGGGCAAACUAUCACGACUGUUUACUAUUCUACAACACAAAUGAACUUCCCUGGUCGCAGGCUUCCACUAAAAGUAAAAUAAACAAAAUUAAUAAAAUAAAGUCAAAAAUAUCAUUAACAAAAAGUUUGGGGUAGAAAGUAUUUACUAACUCAUUAAUACAACAUAUAGAAAAUAAAAACGGUUUUAUCAUUUUGGUUACAGCUAGGAGUAGGUAGAAUCGGACUAGAACCACCAAAGAUGUUGAAAC